CGUAGAUAUCGGGAGAACACCCAGUGCCGAAGGCGGCCACCUGGACGGUGACUGACGCUGAGACUCGAAAGCGUGGGUAGCAAACAGGAUUAGAUACCCUGGUAGUCCACGCAGUAAACGGUGAGUGCUUGUCGUCGUGGGUAUUGACCCCUGCGGUGACCAAGUUAACGCAUGAAGCACUCCGCAUGGGAAGUACGGUCGCAAGACUAAAACUCAAAGGAAUUGACGGGGGCCCGCACAAGCGGUGGAGCAUCUGGUUUAAUUCGACGCAACGCGAAGAACCUUACCUGGGUUUGACAUCCUCUGCCAGCCCCGGAAACGGGGUUUUCCCUGCUUGCAGGGACAGAGUGACAGGUGCUGCAUGACUGUCGUCAGCUCGUGUCGUGAGAUGUUGGGUUAAGUCCCGCAACGAGCGCAACCCUCGUCUUUAGUUGCCAAUAUUGAGUUAGGCACUCUAAAGAGACUGCCUCGCUCACCGGGGAGGAAGGUGGGGAUGACGUCAAGUCCUCAUGGCCUUUAUACCCAGGGCUACACACGUGCCUACAAUGGGCUGUACAAAGGGUUGCUAGUUCGCGAGAACACGCUAAUCCCAGAAAGCAGCUCUCAGUUCGGAUUGAAGUCUGCAACUCGACUUCAUGAAGUUGGAAUCGCUAGUAAUCGUGGAUCCGCACGCCACGGUGAAUACGUUCCCGGGCGUUGUACACACCGCCC
rnacentral:rRNA from 1 species